AAUGACACAGUUGCUUAUUAUUGUGCUGAGAUCAGCUGCUGGGACAAGAACAAGAAUUAUUUUUUUCUCAGAAGGAAAAAAAAUAAUAAUGUAUCCCAUUGGGCACCACUGGAGGAACGCUUAGCUAAUGAAGGUGCUAAGCCUGCUGAAACGUUGAAGGUCUUCUUGAUACACAUUGAAUCCUGACCUGGGAUGGAAAGUGAUUUUUGUGAACGUAUUUACAGAAUGACGUGUAAUAGAUCUAGCAAAGGCUGAAGUCUGGUAAUAGUGACUGAUGUAGUACCACAGAGAAAAGAAACCUGAACACUGCUCUCCGAGGAGGCCGAGCGAGGAGUGAGGAAUACAGACGUAAGAAUCAGUGCUUUGGAGGAUGCCCUGUUACUAGAUCCUAAUGUGUGUCAGAAAUGCCAUCUUCAGCUGCGCUGCUAGUGGAGCUCUGCAAAGUCUGCUCCACAAAGAUGUUUGCAGACUGAACAUGGAACCUUUUUGGCUUCAGCAUGCCAUUGGCAGCAGCAGUAUCUCGUUUCCUCCCCUGCUGUCUGUAGGCCAGAAACAUCACUAUCUCCAGCCACGGCAAACUGAAGAACCUAAUCAUCCCUAUCUGUUCUGAAAAAUGUGCACUGUGAGGAGUGUCCCAGAAAUGGUAACUUCCUGAUGUGAGUCAGAUUCUCCAUCCUAAUGUCUGUGGAUGUCUUCUGAAUUUUUAAGCAUUUGUAUUUUUUUUAGUAUUGACAUGUUAUCUUGCAAAAUAAGUUCAUUAGUUGAACAGUGCUCUUUCACAGCAUGGUAGGAGUUACUGCUCCAGGUAAGAGCACUUUCUGGUCUGGUGCCUAUCUUCAGAUUUGCCAGGGGAUGACACCGUAUGGCAAUGGGAAGAUUCUUUAAAAGCCCUAAUUAGGUAUUAAUACAGGUGCUAAUUUCUGCCUUUAAUGUACCUCUGACAAAUUAUUAUCAUACUCCAGUGAAGAGGUUUAAGGCAGGCAGACUGGUGGGGGAUAUGAAAGGGAUGGAGGAUCCUGCUGGACAGCCCAACUCAAACCUUAUAAAUCACUGGAAGUAGGGUUUUGGAGCAGAUUCUGGAUUUGUUCAUAAUUAUGUAAACACAUUUUUAGUUUAAUAGGUAUGAAGAGUAUAAAACAGGGUAAGCAAACUAUAGCUUCAAAGGGAAAUGUUUAAAAAAGUUUGAGAACAUCAGUCCUAAUUAUUGUAUAUGACAUUAAUUUUAAUUUCCAAUUAAACUCUAAGUAGAGGAUAUCUUACACACAUGACUGUUUCUGGUCAUCUGCAUAUUAUGUGAAAGAGCAUGUUUUGCUAUUUUUCAAUGAUAUAUUUAAUGUACUUGAAAAGUUUCAUUUCUCUCUCUGUAGUUCCAACCCAGGUAAGAAAUUCUUUUUUAAACUUCAUAAAUUAGAGAAAUUUCCUAUUAAUUCAUCUGGUAUAGCCAUUGUUAGAAAUGUUAUAUUUUUCCCCCCUUUUAUGUGUUGUGUAAUUGGUGAUUGAUCCAAUUUAGUUCUAAGUGUCAGAAGAAGCAGAAACCCCUCUAAUUUCCAGAACCUGCUCUACAACUUUGUAGACUGUGUAUAUUCCAGUCACAGUCUCUAUCUGUGCAAAAUUUGGAAUAAAUGUAUUGAAGUCAACAAAGCUGUUUUAGUUUAACAUAAUGUAAUAAUAGACUUUGUCCUCGAACUCCAUCUAUCAUUCCAGCACUCGUUAGGCAUUCUGGUUUUGUUCAUAGUAGGAGCCAUCAUAAAGAAAUUGAUUUCCCUCUGUUCACUCAUCCAAUUUAUUGCAAGAGAACUCCAUGUUCAUUUGCCCGUUACGCAGCAUUUUGUGGAGUGAGAAAG